GACAGAGGUGCCGAGCGUUAGGCGGAAUCACUGGGCUUAAAGCGUGUGUAGGCGGACCGUUAAGUACCUUGUGAAAUCCCCCCCGGCUCAACCGGGGGAACGGCUGGGUAUACUGGCGGUCUUGAGCCAUCCAGGGGCAGUCGGAACAGACGGUGGAGCGGUGAAAUGCGUAGAUAUCGUCUGGAACGCCGAAGGUGAAAACAGACUGCUGGGGGAUGCGCUGACGCUGAGACACGAAAGCCAGGGGAGCGAACGGG
rnacentral:rRNA from 1 species